rnacentral:misc_RNA from 1 species
UGCAAACUCUGUUAGAAGUGAAAUAGCUUCUGGAAUAGGUUUCAAUACGGGAGCGGUUAUAGGCUACUCAAGAAUUAUUGAACAAACAGUUGGAAAAGGG